GCUGUUGUGGCCUAGCUGGUUAGGGCGCCAGACUCAUAAUCUGGAGGUCGCGGGUUCGGAUCCCGUCAACAGCA
rnacentral:tRNA from 7 species